AUUAAAGAAAAUUGAGAGAAUUCAUAGAGUUUAUAAUCUCUAUCGCGUGACAUUCGAUGACAUGCACAAAGUGCAGCGUGCUCUACUCUCCUCCUCGAAUCUUGGAACAUUUCCCAAAAGGUCGUACAGAACAUAAGGGAUGCAUGUUCGGUUCGCCCCGAGCCCAACAGGUUACCUGCAUCUCGGAGGCCUCCGUACAGCUCUGUGCAAGAUGAUGCAACUAUCCAUUGGCUCGAGUAAACCAGGGAAAUUUUAUUCUACGCUUAGAAGACAUGGAUCAAACAGGACUCGUACCAGAUGCUGCCCGUAAACUCAAAGGGGAUCUAUUUUAGGCUGGAAUCAAUCCGGACAAAGACCCGACAAGCUAAAGUUGAGUUUCAUCAUAUUUUCUCACCUCUUUCUCAUUUUUAUUUUCAGAAGAGCAUUGGACAGUCUCUGAAGAA
rnacentral:misc_RNA from 1 species